rnacentral:rRNA from 1 species
GAACGGAAAGGCCCUUUCGGGGGUACUCAAGUGGCGAACGGGUGAGUAACACGUGGGUGAUCUGCCCUGCACUUUGGGAUAAGCCUGGGAAACUGGGUCUAAUACCGAAUACACCCUGCUGGUCGCAUGGCCUGGUAGGGGAAAGCUUUUGCGGUGUGGGAUGGGCCCGCGGCCUAUCAGCUUGUUGGUGGGGUGAUGGCCUACCAAGGCGACGACGGGUAGCCGGCCUGAGAGGGUGACCGGCCACACUGGGACUGAGAUACGGCCCAGACUCCUACGGGAGGCAGCAGUGGGGAAUAUUGCACAAUGGGCGCAAGCCUGAUGCAGCGACGCCGCGUGAGGGAUGACGGCCUUCGGGUUGUAAACCUCUUUCAGCACAGACGAAGCGCAAGUGACGGUAUGUGCAGAAGAAGGACCGGCCAACUACGUGCCAGCAGCCGCGGUAAUACGUAGGGUCCGAGCGUUGUCCGGAAUUACUGGGCGUAAAGAGCUCGUAGGUGGUUUGUCGCGUUGUUCGUGAAAUC